rnacentral:rRNA from 1 species
UACGUAGGGGGCGAGCGUUAUCCGGAUUUAUUGGGCGUAAAGCGUGUGUAGGCGGUUUAUUAAGUCUAAGAUUAAAGCCCGAGGCUUAACCUCGGUUCGUUUUAGAAACUGGUAGACUUGAGUGUGGUAGAGGCAAGUGGAAUUUCUAGUGUAGCGGUUAAAUGCGUAGAUAUUAGGAGGAACACCAGUGGCGAAGGCGGCUUACUGGACUGUAAAUGACGCUGAGGCUCGAAAGCGUGGGGAGCAAACAGG